rnacentral:rRNA from 1 species
GAUGAACGCUGGCGGCGUGCCUAAUACAUGCAAGUCGAGCGAACAGACGAGAAGCUUGCUUCUCUGAUGUUAGCGGCGGACGGGUGAGUAACACGUGGAUAACCUACCUAUAAGACUGGGAUAACUUCGGGAAACCGGAGCUAAUACCGGAUAAUAUUUUGAACCGCAUGGUUCAAUAGUGAAAGACGGUCUUGCUGUCACUUAUAGAUGGAUCCGCGCUGCAUUAGCUAGUUGGUAAGGUAACGGCUUACCAAGGCAACGAUGCGUAGCCGACCUGAGAGGGUGAUCGGCCACACUGGAACUGAGACACGGUCCAGACUCCUACGGGAGGCAGCAGUAGGGAAUCUUCCGCAAUGGGCGAAAGCAUGACGGAGCAACGCCGCGUGAGUGAUGAAGGUCUUCGGAUCGUAAAACUCUGUUAUUAGGGAAGAACAAAUGUGUAAGUAACUGUGCACAUCUUGACGGUACCUAAUCAGAAAGCCACGGCUAACUACGUG